AAAAUUUUAAGUUAAAUUUAAACUAUUAGCCUUCAAAGCUAAAAAUAUGAUUUAUUUAUAAAUUUUA
rnacentral:tRNA from 1 species